rnacentral:lncRNA from 1 species
UCUGCAGCUUUCGAUUUGUGAGCCAGGCGCGAAGCGUUUGUAUGUAUUCGCGAAAUUCCUAUGUCUCUAAUUUCUGCUUAUUAGGUUGCUGGCGUUGCCCCCAACUGAGUCGGCUCCAUACAUCCAACAGAUGAAUGGCUCACUCAUACCGCCCCGGCAAGGAAUGGCUCGCUCUUUCCUAAAGCUGAGGGAAUGAGCCAGGCGCGCAGCGGAGAAGAGAAGCACCAAAGAAAUCUAUCUACUAUGGGCAGACUCUCAUGGAUGUGUUAAGUUUUCUACCUGUUUGGCUAUGAUAACAGGCAGAAAUGAGAAACUUCAACGCUCCACUCUACGAGAAAAAAUACUCCUGAAAGGAAUUGGGUUGGAAAGCCUAAGGAAGAAGCCAUUUGUAGCACUAAGAGGAAGAUGUCUCACAACCCGCCUACGGAUAAUACGUGCCGAUAUAGGAAUGAAGCAUGCAUAAACUCGUAAGUCAAUAGUGAAUUUGGUUGCAUCGAAGGCGGAUAAAUUCAAUAAUGAGGGCCGCCCUACACAUUCCAGACAUUCAAGACCCUUAGCUUACACCCUCCACUAGCCCUAGCACUUCUCCGCAGCCAUCCAAUGUGCCACUUCCCACACAUUAACAUUGAAGCGAGAAUGUGUCAAUAUGAUAGAAAUCCGUGUCAAAUCUCCUUCUUCGCCUGGCACCCGAUAAUUUAUUUAUUAGAGUACAGUAUCGGCAAGGAAUCUCGAUUAUUAAUUCGAUUUUUUUAAGUAUUAUUAAGUAAGCCAUCCACAAUGCAUAGGACUACCCCUCCCCAUUUCCUAAUUUUGAAUGGAAUACUUUAUUAUUUUUUAGUCCCUUUAAUUGACAUAGAUGCAAAUACUUUACUAAGAUGAUGCACAAGAAAGGGUCAGGAUAGCUCAGUUGGUAGAGCAGAGGACUGAAAAUCCUCGUGUCACCAGUUCAAAUCUGGUUCCUGGCACAGAAAAAAAGGAUCUACCGAAUAGAUAUUGAUACAAAUAUUUUGAGAUGGAUUGGGAUAAAUAUUCAUUAAAAAUCUACUUAGUCUAGAGUAAGUAGAUAAAUGUCUAGAGUAAGUAGAUAAAUCUCUAAACACUUCUUUUUCUUUUAAAAAUAAAAAAGGGUUCAAAUCUCUGGUUCUUUUCUUUAUGGUAUAGAAAGAGGUGAGAUUAGGUGCCCUUUUCUUCAUUUUGCAUUUCUUAUUAAUUUUGUAUGCCGCUAUUCCGAAGAAUAUUUUUUUUUAUUCUUGCUUAUCCUACUUUCCUAGUUGUUCUAAGUAAUAUGCGCGGUACAAAGUUCGUGGUAGGAACUUCUUUGAGUCAUUGUAUUUUUCUGUUCAUACGAAGGAAACAAAUAUGUGAUUUUCCAAAUUGGAAAAUCGAAAUGAAGCCCUUUUUGUUCAGUCUAUCUGGACCUUUUUGUAUAAUAGGAAUUAAUUAGAAUAUUAUAUUCUAAGUAUUUCGUUUCGUCUAGGAACAGAACCUCAAAAUAUUCCUUUACUUUAAUAAAAUCUGGAAUUGUGUUGUAUAAGUGAACAUGAAUUUAUUAUCACUCAAUGAGCAUCUUGUAUUUCAUAGAAAUUGGGGGUUAUAUAGUCCUUACGUAAGGGCCAGCCUAUCCAACUUUCAGGCAUUAAGAUACGUUUAAGACGUGGAUGAUUAUCAUAAGAAAUUCCCACCAUAUCAUAAGAUUCGCGUUCUUGAAAAUCGGCACUUCUCCAAACCCAGAAAACAGACGGGAUUCUAGGAUUAUCCUUUUGGGCAAAGACUUUUAUGCAUACCUCUUCUGGGUUAUCUAUACCAUACUGUAUUCUCGUAAGAUGAUACACGCUAGCUAAAGAUCCACCGGGUGCUACGUCAUAAGCACAUUGGGAACGUAAAUAAUUGUAACCAUAUACAUAUAAAAUGACAGCAAUGGAAUCCCAAUCCCCCGCUUUUAUUUGUAAAGUCUCGACUCCUCGAUGAUCGAAGCCCAAAGACCUAUGAACCACGUCAUGUUUAACUAGCCAAUUAGAUAACCAACCCUGCUGCAUUGUCUUGAUCUCUCCCCCUUUGUAUAAAUAUUUCACAUUUCAAAUGCAAGUUUGAAAGAUUGCACUGCUCUUUCUUUUUCUGCACAAAAGAACCCCUCCUAAUUCACUAAUUUGUAGGAAGAUACUGAACUUUUGGAUUUGAAAAAAGUUUCAGAAGAUAUAUCUAAAGUAGAUGGUGAUUGAUAGAGCAAUUCUUGUUCGUAAGUUCCAGUGUGAGUACUGCGCCGAACAUAAAGUUUGUGACGGGUAGUAAAAGAUCUAUUUUUCUUUUGACUUUGACAUAGAGUUCGAUCCUCAAUUAUUUCUCGCGCUAUCUUCUUACGAAGUUUUGUUAGGGCAUCUAUAACAGCCUCUGGUUUAGGCGGGCAACCCGGCAGGUAGACGUCCACAGGAAUUAACUUAUCAACUCCUCGAACAGUACUAUAGGAAUCUGUACUGAACAUGCCCCCUGUAAUAGUACAGGCUCCCAUAGCAAUGACGUAUUUCGGUUCAGGCAUUUGCUCAUAUAAUCGCACUAAAGAUGGAGCCAUUUUCAUUGUUACCGUACCAGCUGUUAAAAUUAGGUCCGCUUGUCUAGGACUUGAUCUCGGUACCAAUCCAUAACGAUCAAAGUCGAAUCGCGAGCCUAUUAAUGAGGCAAAUUCAAUGAAACAACAACUGGUACCAUAUAGAAGGGGCCAUAAACUUGAGAGUCUUGACCAAUUCGAAAGAUCGUUUGGUGUAGUUGAAAUAACGGAAUUAGAACUUGUUUGGUCGAGUAACGGAAACUCAAUCAAACUCAUAAUUGUCUCAAUGGAAUCUUUUCCUUCUUUUUUUUUCUGAAUAUUCAGUUAAGACCAUUCCAAGGCUCCUUUUCGCCAUGCAUAAACUAAACCAACAACUAGGAUAAGCACAAAAAUGAAAGCUUCGAUAAAAACGGAUACACCCAAUACGUCGAAACUCAUUGCCCAAGGGUAGAGAAAGACUGUUUCCACAUCAAAAACAACAAAAACUAGCGCAAACAUGUAAUAGCGUAUUCGGAAUUGUAACCAAGCCCCCCCCAUGGGUUCUAUACCCGAUUCAUAACUAGAAAGCUUCUCUGGUCCUUCACUAACCGGGGCUAAAAGUCCUGAAAUCCAAAAUACCAAAAUAGGAAUAAGGCUUGCUAUUAUUAGAAAUGUCCAAAAAAUAUCAUAUUCGUGAAGCAGAAACAUAAAUGUACUCCCAUUAAUGUGGAAUAGGCGGAACUGAAUUAGUCAAUUCAAGUUGACAUUGUCAAUUUAUCCAGAACUUCUCUCUUUUCCUCGGUGAAACAAGAAUCUGUUUUGCUCAAACCAAAGGCAAGGAGCGCUUACUUUAGGCUUUGUUUCUUUUGUGAUAUGUCUUCCUUAAGGAUUCAUCCAAUGUAAUCCCCACUGCCCUUCUUUAUUUAUUUUGUAUCGGGUUACUAAAUACUAAACAAAUUCAAGAAAUAAGAGAAUUCAGAAUAGCUACCAGAAAGACUAAUCCAAUCCAUAAUGAUGUACCGGAAAAUACAACGUUUUUAUUAUUUGACCAACCAUCAGGAGAAGCAAAUACAAGGGGUACACUAAUUACUAAAACUGAGGAAGUCGCAAUUAAUGCAAAAACAGCUAAUUGGAAAGCAAUAGUCAUAUUUAUGAUCCUCCAAACUACCUUCAAAUAAAGUUGACUACAUAUUUCUAUUUGAUCCCUCACUUAAUCAAAAUUGUACGAAAAUACAAGAAGUAGGAGGGGUUUAAUCAUGAAUCCAUUGAUUCUUCUUUUUAUUAAAACUUUUUCCUUACCGCUUUUAUUUGGAUAUGGAGUUGAGGGGAGGGGAUUUAGCCUUUAUUUCACAAACGGAUAUAGCGGAUUCUGUAUCCGUGUAUACAGUAUACAGAGAUAUAUUGAAAGUGGACUUGCAUCUGAGAUGAGUUAGUAGAUCAUUUCAUAUAGCAAUGUUCUAUUUGUAGUUACCAAUGAAUAGGAUAGAGAAGCUCUAUCCUAGAUUUCUAUGGUAUAUGGAAUUUAUGGUUUCCUUUGGUUUAAAUCCAAUCAUCUAGAUUGGAAGAAGCAAUUCCCCCAUUGGUAACAAAUGGUUAUCCAUUAAGCGGAGGAAAUAGUAAUAAAAAGAAAAAGGCUUAUGCUCCUUUAUCUUAAAAGAACGGACUAAAGGGUCAGCUACUUAGCCAACUUUCAUAAUUAAAUACCGUCACUGUAUGAAUAAUUCUUAUUGUGAAAAGAGUUAUUUACUCUAUAAUGGAUAGGUAGAGCCAAAGAAUGUGAACUAUACAAGUUCACAAUACCUUUUGAUGAAAUGAAAGAAAGGGCUCCGGUGUAUAGAGAGGGCCUCGCCGUUUAAAAGGGAACCAUAAAAACGAUGGAACCCACUGUUUUUUUAGUAUCGUUAGAAUUUGUUAUUUCUAUGCGAAAUAACUGAAUAGAAUAAAAAAUCGUGGUUGGGAAGGUUAUAGUAGCAAAAGCCAUUGGAAUUAAUUCUAAACAAAAGUAGAAGUUCAAAACCUAAUAAAUUUAAUUAUCUCUUCCAUUCUAUGGCCCCAAGAAUGCCAAUAUUAGCACGAAUCGUACGGAAAUGUAACUCGGUAUUCAAACAACUAUUCAGAGUUCCUAGAGCUCCUUGUACAGCUUGUUGGAAAACCCGUUGUCGGACCUGAUUCCCAAUCCAUCUCGAGUAAUUUUUAUCAAUACCUAUUCGGUAGAUCCUUUUUUCUGUGCCAGGAACCAGAUUUGAACUGGUGACACGAGGAUUUUCAGUCCUCUGCUCUACCAACUGAGCUAUCCUGACCAUUUAUUGUGCAUCAUCCUAGUAGAGUACGUACUUGUAUCUAUGUCAAUUAAAGGGACUAAAAAAGAAAAAAGUCUUCUAAAAUUGGACUUAGUAAAUGUCAGGAUAAUGAUAUGGAUUGUGAAUGACUUACUUAAUAAUAGGGAUUACUUGCCUAUACUAUAAUAUGUUCAUUUGUA